rnacentral:ncRNA from 1 species
CAAGGAUAAAAACGCAACGUGAGAAGUGAAUUUUCACAGAGCCGGUAGGUAGCCCGGCCGCACCGUUGGUGUAAGUAACCCUCCCUCCUUAGGGUCGUCCAUUCUUUGCGUA